CAGCGGCGGACGGGUGAGUAACGCGUGGGAACGUACCUUUUGGUUCGGAACAACACAGGGAAACUUGUGCUAAUACCGGAUAAGCCCUUACGGGGAAAGAUUUAUCGCCGAAAGAUCGGCCCGCGUCUGAUUAGCUAGUUGGUGAGGUAAUGGCUCACCAAGGCGACGAUCAGUAGCUGGUCUGAGAGGAUGAUCAGCCACAUUGGGACUGAGACACGGCCCAAACUCCUACGGGAGGCAGCAGUGGGGAAUAUUGGACAAUGGGCGCAAGCCUGAUCCAGCCAUGCCGCGUGAGUGAUGAAGGCCCUAGGGUUGUAAAGCUCUUUUGUGCGGGAAGAUAAUGACGGUACCGCAAGAAUAAGCCCCGGCUAACUUCGUGCCAGCAGCCGCGGUAAUACGAAGGGGGCUAGCGUUGCUCGGAAUCACUGGGCGUAAAGGGUGCGUAGGCGGGUCUUUAAGUCAGGGGUGAAAUCCUGGAGCUCAACUCCAGAACUGCCUUUGAUACUGAAGAUCUUGAGUUCGGGAGAGGUGAGUGGAACUGCGAGUGUAGAGGUGAAAUUCGUAGAUAUUCGCAAGAACACCAGUGGCG
rnacentral:rRNA from 1 species